UGUAAUGGCGGUUGUGCGUGGGAGACCUUCGGGUCUGCCGGCUUCUAGGGGUCCGGUCUGCUAACCCGCGUACAGUCGCCACCCUC
rnacentral:antisense_RNA from 2 species